GAUGAACGCUAGCUACAGGCUUAACACAUGCAAGUCGAGGGGAACGAUAUUGGAAGCUUGCUUCCGAUAGGCGUCGACCGGCGCACGGGUGAGUAACGCGUAUCCAACCUGCCCAUCACUUGGGGAUAACCUUGCGAAAGUAAGACUAAUACCCAAUGACGUCUCUAGAAGACAUCUGAAAGAGAUUAAAGAUUUAUCGGUGAUGGAUGGGGAUGCGUCUGAUUAGCUUGUUGGCGGGGUAACGGCCCACCAAGGCGACGAUCAGUAGGGUUCUGAGAGGAAGGUCCCCCACAUUGGAACUGAGACACGGUCCAAAACUCCUAACGGGAGGCAGCAGUGAGGAAUAUUGGGUCAAUGGACGAGAGUCUGAACCAGCCAAGUAGCGUGCAGGAGACGGCCUAUGGGGUUGUAAAACUGCCUUUUUAUAAGGGAAUAAAGUGAGUCUCGUGAGACUUUUGCAUGUACCUUAUGAAUAAGGACCGGCUAAUUCCGUGCCAGCAGCCG
rnacentral:rRNA from 1 species